AAAAAGAAAAGAGGAGGAAAAAAAAAAGGGAGAGAGCAGCCGUAAAAGAAAGCAAGAGAAGAAGAAAAGAAAAAGAAGAAAAGAGAGAGAAGAGAAGAAAGAGAGAAGAGAGGAAGGGAGAGAGGGGCUCACCGUUCACCACCACCACCGCACCGUCUUCGUCUCCUCUGGUCACCACCUCCACCAUCACAAGCUUCACGUCCAGAGAAGGAUCCACUGCCACCAGAUCUUCUAAUCUGCCACCGCCGCAGCUGUUGGUUGCACAGAGAAGAGGAGAGGCCUGGAGAAGAAGAAAGGAAGGAGAAGAUAGAGAUCCGAGAUGAGGUUUUUUGAGGAAGAUUCCCGUCGCUUCAGAGAGAGUUAAAACGUGAUCAAGGUGUCUCUGGAAAGAGCUCGAUGCAACGAAGCCAUAGAAGAAAACCGCAUCGUCAUCAGAGUUACGGUGAGGCUACAACGAAGUUUUCUUCCUGUGCAAGAAUCAUCUGCGUCAUCCUGCAACCCAGAAAUCUGCUCCGACGCAGCAACUUUAAAAGAAUGUACACAGCUCGUCUGAAAUUAGAUCGAGCAGAAAUUUUGUGGAGGGCUUCACGGUACAUCUUUCUCCAGUUUCAACGGUGGGAUUUAGAUUUCAACGGUUGGUUGUCGAGUUAUCAGCGUGUUUCUGAGGCAGCUUUGAAGUGUUUUUAAGAUGGGUGUUUUCCAGCUGCAACCAUUUUUUGACCACCAUAUUCUCCAAAUGCUAUUCUAGGUUCUUUCAAAUUAAAGUGAGGACAAUUUUGUGAAUUUCUAAAAUAUAUUAAUUGAUUUAGUAAUGUGUGUAUGCUUAGUGUAGGUAUUAAACAUGAUUGAUGAUUAAUAUUGAUAAUGCUGAUUGAUAUGUGUUAUUGAUUGUUUAUUGAUGAUAAUUAAUAAUGAGAAAUACAUAAAUAUGAUAAUAAACUUUUAAGUUAUUUAGUAGUUAAUUGAAAUAAUAUUUAUUUGAUUACAAUAUUGUUUAACGGCUUACAACAAAGAACUGAGAUUGUGAAGUUGUAGUGAUCGAUAAAUUGUUUGACAGCCUACAGUGAAAGACUGAAUAUUGUGAAGCUGUAGUGAUCGAGAAAGGGCUGACGAGCCAUAGUCAAACCCUGUUGAGGGUGGUGGCACCGGUAACUUGUCAAGCCCAGAACGGGUGGUGGCAGAGAAUGAGUACUAUUGACAGAAGUUCUUUGUGAAUGUGUUAGAGGAUCUCUAAGUUGAUUGAUUUGAAUGAUUGAAUGAUUAUAUUUAUUUAUUAAUAUUAGAAUCAUAUUUAUUAUAUAAUAAUAAUAGUUAUUUUAUGUUGAUUGUUGCUUGAGUUUGAUGCCUAUAUUAUGUAUACUCAUUAUUGUUAUUUCAAAUAAUAUGUCAAAGAAUCUUGUGUGUUCCAAGAGCACACCCUCACUGAGUAUUUUUCCCCGAAUACUCACCCCUCUCUUCUUUUUCAGGUGAGACCGAAAAAUAGUACUUGUGACAGUUGUUGCGGUGUUAUGUCCAGAAGUCAGGGACGCAUUUUGUAAUUAUUUUUAAGAAGAAUUUUAAUUAAAUUAUUUUUAGUUUGUUUAAAUAUUUAAGAUUUUUCGAGUUCUCGAUUUAUAUAUUUUUAAUAAAA
rnacentral:lncRNA from 1 species